rnacentral:rRNA from 1 species
CAGUCGCCGCGGGAAUACAUAGGAUGCAAGCGUUAUCCGGAAUGAUUGGGCGUAAAGCGUCUGUAGGUGGCUUUUCAAGUCCGUCGUCAAAUCCCAGGGCUCAACCCUGGACAGGCGGUGGAAACUGCCAAGCUGGAGUACGGUAGGGGCAGAGGGAAUUUCCAGUGGAGCGGUGAAAUGCGUUGAGAUCGGAAAGAACACCAACGGCGAAAGCACUCUGCUGGGCCGACACUGACACUGAGAGACGAAAGCUAGGGGAGCAAAUGGGAUUAGAUACCCCAGUAGUCCCUGUCUCUUAUAC